AGGUCUCAGGAGCCAUGAAGAAGUAGGAGGGGAUGAAAAUCAUGCUGGACAGUGGGUGCAAGAGUGGAACGCUGCGCUUCUAGAGGAAGCAUGGAGGAGCAGCAGCCGAAGGAGAAGGUGGCAGACGUGGACCUGAGCAGCUUGGGCAUUCUUCUAAGCAGAGAUUAACAGUCCUCAGCUUUCUACCUUGCACAUAACUGGCUUACCAAGGGAAAAGAAAUCAGGCGUCAGAGUCAACUCCCUUCAUACGUUGGAAAGUGAGCAAAAGUGAUCGGACUGCAAGAACUAUUGAUGCUACGGAAAAACCGUCCAACUGGGAGUGGAAUAGCUGCUACUCUCAAUGAUAAGUGCCUGUUUU